AGAAGCCUUCAUGGCAAUUUCCUACUGGUGCGACAAGUGGCGAGGAAAAUCGUAGCUCGUAAAAACAAGGAUGUCUUCCUAAAACUAGAUAUCUCGUCGGCUUUUGAUUCACUCUCAUCGCCAUUCUUAUUUGAAGAAUUAAGAGCCAAAGGAUUCAGAGAUAAUUGGAUCAAGUGGGUUUUGAUUUUGCUCCAGUCGGCAAUGACUAAAAUCCUAGUCAAUGAUGUGCCGGGCAGAAGCAUUGGGCACGCAUGUGUGGGCUAUGAUAGGGUGACCCCGUCUCACCGCUACCAUUUGUCAUUGCCAUGGAUGCUCACGACGAUCUUCAAGAAAACUUUGGAGGAGGGAGUGAUCUCACCUUACAGAGGGAUUACUGCUCAUCAGAGACUAUCAAUAUACGUUGAUGAUGUUGCUAUGUUCGUGCACCCUUCGCAUAAGGAUCCGCUCUUCAUUGAUAGACCUUGGAUGCAUUCGGCGAGGCUUCGGGCCUGA
rnacentral:rRNA from 1 species